UACGGAGGAUCCGAGCGUUAUCCGGAUUUAUUGGGCGUAAAGGGUUCGCAGGCGGCCUUGUAAGUCAGAUGUGAAAGACAGCGGCUUAACCGCUGUAAGCAUUUGAAACUGCAGGGCUUGAGUACAGGAGAGGAAAGCGGAAUUCCAUGUGUAGCGGUGAAAUGCGUAGAGAUAUGGAGGAACACCAGUGGCGAAGGCGGCUUCCUGGUCUGUAACUGACACUGAGGCGCGAAAGCGUGGGGAGCAAACAGGAUUAGAUACCU
rnacentral:rRNA from 1 species